rnacentral:rRNA from 1 species
CAGCAGCCGCGGUAUUACGGAGGGUGCAAGCGUUAAUCGGAAUUACUGGGCGUAAAGCGCACGCAGGCGGUCUGACAAGUCAGAUGUGAAAUCCCCGGGCUUAACCUGGGAACUGCAUUUGAAACUGUCAGGCUGGAGUCUUGUAGAGGGGGGUGGAAUUCCAGGUGUAGCGGUGAAAUGCGUAGAGAUCUGGAGGAAUACCGGUGGCGAAGGCGGCCCCCUGGACAAAGACUGACGCUCAGGUGCGAAAGCGUGGGGAGCAAACAGGAUUAGAUACCCCGGUAGUCCCUGUCUCUUAUAC